GACGAACGCUGGCGGCGUGCUUAACACAUGCAAGUCGAACGAAGAGCGAUGGAAGCUUGCUUCUAUCAAUCUUAGUGGCGAACGGGUGAGUAACGCGUAAUCAACCUGCCCUUCAGAGGGGGACAACAGUUGGAAACGACUGCUAAUACCGCAUACGAUCUAAUCUCGGCAUCGAGGAUAGAUGAAAGGUGGCCUCUACAUGUAAGCUAUCACUGAAGGAGGGGAUUGCGUCUGAUUAGCUAGUUGGAGGGGUAACGGCCCACCAAGGCGAUGAUCAGUAGCCGGUCUGAGAGGUGAAACGGCCACAUUGGGACUGAGACACGGCCCAAACUCCUACGGGAGGCAGCAGUGGGGAAUCUUCCGCAAUGGACGAAAGUCUGACGGAGCAACGCCGCUUGGGGGAUGACGGCCUUCGGGUUUUAAAGCUCUUUUAAUCGGGACGAAAGGCCUUCUUGCGAAUAGUGAGAAGGAUUGACGGUACCGGAAUAGAAAGCCACGGCUAACUACGU
rnacentral:rRNA from 1 species